rnacentral:rRNA from 1 species
GACGAACGCUGGCGGCGUGCUUAACACAUGCAAGUCGAACGGAAAGGCCCUGCUUGCGGGGUACUCGCGUGGCGAACGGGUGAGUAACACGUGGGUGAUCUGCCCUGCACUUCGGGAUAAGACUGGGAAAAUGGGUCUAAUACCGGGGAGGGGCCAUCUUUCGUGUGGUGGGGGGAUAGAUUUUUUGGUGUGGGGGGAGCUCACGGGCUAUCAGCUUGUUGGUUGGGUAGUGGCCUACCAAGGCGGCGACUGGUAGCCGGCCUGGGGGGGUGGACGGCCACAAUGGGGCCUGGGUACGGGCCAGAAUUCUACGGGAGGCAGGAGGGGGGAAAAUUGGACAAAUGGGGGAAGCCUGAAGCAGCGACGCCGGGGUGGGGAUGACCGGCUUCGGGUUGUAAACUCCCUUCGCUAUGUACGAAGCUGUUUGUGACGGUACCGAGAUAAGAAGCACCGGCUAACUACGUG